GGGAGCUCCUUAUUUCUCUGUUAACUCUAAUGGAGAUAUCUCCGUCCGACCACAUGGUACGGGCACUCUCCCUCACCAGGAAAUUGACCUUCUCAAGGUCGUGAAAAAAGCCUCCGAUCCGAAACAUUCAGGUGGUCUUGGUCUUCAGCUGCCUCUUGUUGUUCGCUUCCCUGAUGUGCUGAAAAACCGGUUGGAAUCUCUGCAAUCGGCUUUUGAUCUCGCGGUUCAUUCCCAGGGCUAUGGGGCCCACUACCAAGGUGUUUAUCCCGUGAAAUGCAAUCAGGACAGGUUCGUGGUGGAAGAUAUUGUCAAAUUCGGGUCGUCAUUCCGGUUCGGGUUGGAAGCGGGGUCUAAACCUGAGCUCCUGUUAGCCAUGAGCUGUCUCUGCAAGGGAAGUGCUGAGGGCCUUCUCGUUUGCAAUGGUUUCAAGGACGCUGAGUACAUUUCGCUUGCUUUGGUUGGAAGAAAGCUCAUGUUAAACACUGUAAUUGUGCUUGAACAAGAGGAGGAGCUUGACCUUGUGAUUGAUAUAAGCCGUAAGAUGGCUGUUCGGCCUGUAAUUGGACUUCGGGCUAAGCUCAGGACCAAGCAUUCAGGCCAUUUUGGAUCCACUUCUGGAGAAAAAGGUAAGUUUGGGCUUAC
rnacentral:lncRNA from 1 species